UACGGGGGGAGCAAGCGUUGUUCGGAUUUACUGGACGUAAAGGGCGCGUAGGCGGCCACCGCAAGUCGAUUGUGAAAUCUCCGGGCUUAACCCGGAAAGGUCAACCGAUACUGCGGGGCUAGAGUGCAGAAGGGGCAACUGGAAUUCUCGGUGUAGCGGUGAAAUGCGUAGAUAUCGAGAGGAACACCUGCGGCGAAGGCGGGUUGCUGGGCUGACACUGACGCUGAUGCGCGAAAGCUAGGGGAGCGAACGGG
rnacentral:rRNA from 1 species